rnacentral:rRNA from 1 species
CCUACGGGGGGCAGCAGUGGGGAAUAUUGGACAAUGGGCAAAAGCCUGAUCCAGCCAUGCCGCGUGUGUGAAGAAGGCCUUCGGGUUGUAAAGCACUUUCAGUGGGGAAGAAAGCCUUGGGGCUAAUACCCUCGAGGAAGGACAUCACCCACAGAAGAAGCACCGGCUAACUCCGUGCCAGCAGCCGCGGUAAUACGGAGGGUGCGAGCGUUAAUCGGAAUUACUGGGCGUAAAGCGCGCGUAGGCGGUCUGAUAAGCCGGUUGUGAAAGCCCCGGGCUCAACCUGGGAACGGCAUCCGGAGCUGUCAGGCUAGAGUGCAGGAGAGGAAGGUAGAAUUCCCGGUGUAGCGGUGAAAUGCGUAGAGAUCGGGAGGAAUACCAGUGGCGAAGGCGGCCUUCUGGACUGACACUGACGCUGAGGUGCGAAAGCGUGGGUAGCAAACAGGAUUAGAUACCCGAGUAGUC